GCGGCCGGCGGCGGCGGUUGGUGAAGGGCAAUUGCAGUAAUGGACUGACUGGUAAAGAUGGAGAGAGGGAGAGGAGGAGGAGGAGCAGGAGGAAGGAGUGUGGGGGGCUCCAGCCUGCACAGGAGCAUUUACUCCCAGUCUCAACAGCAGUAUCACUAUCCUGCCUCCUCUCAGGGGGGCUGCAUGGAGAUCCAGGAGCUAGCCUCCAAAAGGGUGGACAUCCAGAAAAAGCGAUUUUAUCUGGAUGUGAAGCAGAGUUCCCGAGGCCGCUUCCUGAAGAUAGCGGAGGUCUGGAUAGGAAGAGGCAGGCAGGAAAAUAUCAGGAAAAGCAAACUGACUCUUUCCUUGUCUGUGGCUGCUGAGCUGAAGGAUUAUCUGGGAGAUUUCAUAGAGCACUAUGCCCAUUUGGGCCUCAAAGGCAGCCAGAGUCAUAGACAUGAACACAGUAAUGGCAAAGAUCAAGAUUUGAGAAGGCGGCAACAGCAUCAUCUGCCUUCGCCUCCAGCAUCUGUUGAAUCCGAAGAGCAUCCUCACAGUGUCCUGAAAACUGAGUAUAUAGAAAGAGACAACAGGAAGUAUUAUCUAGACCUGAAGGAGAAUCAACGUGGGCGUUUCUUAAGGAUUAGACAAACCAUGAUUAGAGGACCGGGCAUGAUAGGUUAUUUUGGCCACAAUUUGGGACAGGAACAGACUAUUGUCCUUCCAGCCCAAGGGAUGAUUGAAUUCAGGGAUGCUUUGGUCCAGCUAAUUGAAGAAUAUGGGGAGGGAGAUAUAGAAGAACGAAGAGGUGGGGGUGAUGAACCCCUUGAGCUUCCAGAGGGGACUUCCUUCAGGGUGGACAAUAAGCGGUUCUACUUUGAUGUGGGAUCUAACAGGUAUGGCAUUUUUUUGAAGGUAAGUGAGGUGAGACCACCUUACCGUAACACCAUCACUGUCCCGUAUAAAGCGUGGACAAGGUUUGGGGAAAACUUUAUCAAAUAUGAAGAAGAAAUGAGGAGAAUUUACAACAGCCAUAAAGAGAAAAGAAUGGAUGUCACAGGUGACAGUGGUGAAGAGCAAGAGGGUCUGGAAUAGAGUGCGUUUGAACUGGUCGUCAGGCAAAACAGAAAACCAUAAAUUGGCUAGAGGUCAUUGUUCUGAAGGAUCUUGGUCCUACUGGAAUUAAAAUAAUGGAAAUAAAAUGCAUGUGUUAAAAGUGUAGAAAUGGUGAAGAAUUAAAUGUGAACUUACUGUACGAUACUGAUUCUGUUUUCAAACAAUCUGUUUUGCUGUUCAGUAGUUGACAUAUAAAAACGCAAAUGUACUGUAAUUUAGCACUUUUCCCACUGGACCCUGUUCUCACUUCGUCAGAGGUAUGAAGUGGUGUUGGUGUGAGACUGGCUUCAGGAGUUUACUUUUCUUGCUGUGUAUACCCAUUUAUGAUGAUAUGUUGUGCACCCAGAAGAGUAAACCUGUUAACCCUUUCUAUGUGUUUGUUAUACAGUAUCUUGCAGGAUGCCAGAAUUGGCCUAAAUGCAACUAAAAGUUCAGGGUCUCUUUACAUGAUCUGUUUCUAGAACGGCAUUUCAUUGCCAGCUAAGUUGGUGUGUGGGAAGUUUCAGUAGUCAAACAGCUAGCUUUAGAGGAGUAAUGUGAAUUUGCCUUUAACAAACUUUUUUAUCCCCAAGUGUACCUGAUCAGAUGGGCAUGUCCACUAAAGCACUGAUUACAUUUCCUGAGUCAAGACUUUAUCCCAGUUCUCAUGGUUAUCAGAAUCCUCUAUACAAGUGCCACAAUAAAAUAAAAACUAAAGUGACCCAUAUGCAAUUCACUUUUCAUUAAUCCUGCAGUGGUCACUAAUCCAUUUAAACCAGGUUUUUUGUCUCUCUGUUCUCUCUCAUCCUCCCCCCCCCCCCCACCACCCUCUUAUUGUUAGUAGCAGCAGUAGUGACCAUUAUAAGCUGGUAGUGCCCAAAGGCGCUGGGGGCUGUCCAGAUGUAGACAGAGCACACGAGCAAUUCUUCUGGUGAAGAAUUGACACAGGUGUGUCAGUUACAUAUUUUGUUUUAGUGUUUUAAUGGGGACAGAGUCCAAGUGAGAUAGUGUCAGGAAUAGGGAGGUACAAGUGUGAGAGGCAGAAACCGCUCACCCUGGCUGGCCAGGCUCUGUCAACAUCACUGCACUGAGGAGAGUAAGGAAGCAGAUGUCGGGUGGAGGGAGUUGAUGUGGUCCAAGUGAUGAGUUCGGGCAGCAGCAUUCUUGAUGUAUCCGAGGGGUGCGAGGCAGAGGGAGUCACAUCCGGCGGUUGAGGGUCUGAUCUCCGACAUGCUCUAUAGGAAGAUGCAGUAGGAUGUAGCCAUGGUCUGCAUGUGCAAGACUGGAGAGAAGGCUGGGUCAGACCCCUGGUUAUGGGCCUGCAUGAGUGGGGGGAUGGUGAUCUCUAGGGUGAUGCAGGGAAAUGGGAAGGGACUUGAGGGAAAGAUCAAGGACCCAGCUUGAGGUACACUGGGUCUGAAAGGGCAACUGGACAUUGCAGAGUGGUCAUCGAUGGGCUGAGAUAUGGGGCUGGAUGGAGGGUGACAGUUUGUCAAUCAAGAGAUAGAUUGGUAAGCUGGGGGUGGGGGUGUCAAGGUGGCAGCCAAAGCCAUGUUUGCGGUAAGAGCACCUCCAGGUAAGGGGUGGGCAGGGGCAGAGGCAGGGCAGCUAUCACCAGGAGGUGACAGCAGAAGAGAGAGUGGAGGCGUGUUGUGUAGGUGAGAGGGAAAAGGGGACAAGAGUAAACAGUAGUGCUAGUGAGAGCAGUAGAGGAGAGAGUACAGCUGUGGAGUGGGGGAGGGAAUGAGAAGAGAUGGGGAGGAGGACAGAUGAAGCAGAGGAGGCUGAGCAUGGCUGAGUGAGACCUAUUGGCCAGCGAGGAGGCAGCGGUUGUAGAGGCCCUGACUCUUUAAGUCCCAGUUGUCCAAGAUUCCUGCAGGGUAGUAGGUGAUGUAGAAGGCAGUGAUGGAAGCAGCGUAAUUCAUGUGUUUGAACCUCGGAACAGGGGGCUGGUUACUUCCCAGUACCGCUCUUGGCCCUGGAGAUCUGGCCUUAAGACUGGCUCCCAGCUGCAGAGCAGGGCAGUCAUAUUCAUCCUACACUGGGUAACAACAAAAUGUUGAAACCCCACAUCAUGACCUCAUGUUCAGACUGAGGCAGGAUAUCCCACCAUCCCAAGCUGCCUCACUGCAUAGCACUCUUAGCAGUGUAUCCACAGAUCUACUCGGAUGCAUGUUGUGGCGCUCCCUUGCCUGCCAUGUCAGUGUACUACUGCAAGGCCUAGAUUUCAGGAAGGCUAAAGCGAAGUGAGGUGGCUACAGAUCUAUUUUAUUGGGUUAUUUUGUGGUUCUAACAUUUAAUUUGUGUAUCUUUACAUUUGCAAAAUACACGUUUGGUAUUUGCCCAUAUUGAAACAGAGACCAACAAAUCUGGGCACGCUUUCUGAGACCAUGUAAAUAUCAGACCCUGAAUUUUGAAGGUAGGAAGAAGGUAAACUAACCCUCUCACACAAGACAUGUUUAAAUCUACAGCCUAUUCUAGUGUUAACAGGGUGCAAGGUGUUACUUGUCAUGUACUGUACUAAAAGGGUUCAUUGAUCAGUGACUGUAUUGUACUGUAUGAAAAAUCAUAAAUUGCCUUGUAUUGUUUAUAAUAGACUGUACCAUGUACCACACACAGUUCCAUGUUCCAAGUUUUUUAAUGAUGCAUGUUGCCAGUUAGGUCCUAAAAUUACGUGGUGCUAAUUCUUCCAUAUCCAAUGGUGCUUCUGAGGAUGCUAACUGCACACAUGCUGAACAAAGCUUGAAGUUUAAAGUCUCUCUCAUCUGUUUGUAUGAAGUAAACACACAAAAUGAUAAACUUGAAUUUGUUUCAAAGUACCAUUGACAAUCUACUGUUUUCUAUGUGUGCUUUCUUUGGGUUCAGGAUUGUUUUUCCAGAAAGCAGCUCUGUUUCUAUAAAACACACUCUUGUAUUUCCACUUGGAGAUGGUUUCGCCAUGCUCCUACAUAGUUCUAGCAAGGCCAAGAAUCUAGGUUACUCCUCAGGUGUUUAAAACUCUUUGACCCUCAGCCGAUUUUUCAAUCCAGAUUCAUUUAGAUGAAAAUAUCCAUGCCAGGUAGGUCCUUACAACAGCUACAGGAUAGCCAGGUGACAGGCGGUAAUGCAGCUCUCUCUGGCGUUUCUAGAUGUUUCAUUCCUUGUGCCAGUAGAGGAUGGGAAUUCUACAGAGGCUGCUCACUCAGCCCUGAAGGGAAGAAAGUCCUCUGCAUCACACAGCCGGGGCUCCGCCGGCCAGGUGCAGCAGCAGUGCUGACCGCUUGCUCCACUCUGCAGCUUUCAAGCAUGGUAUUCCCAAUACAGGGACCUUGCAUUGUGAAGGGUGAAUACGGGCAACAUGGAGGAUUUACCAAGACGUAUUAGAAAUCGGUGCUCAUUCCUUGCAGUAUGUGAGCACCUGUGUAGCUAAGUUAGUCCCAGCUUUGACCCCCUAGAACGCUGUCCAUAGUAUAAUGGAGAAGUGCAGUAACAGAAAGGCUAGGUAGAUUUCUGCUAGCUCUAGAUGUUCACACUGGAGACCAUUGCUUGAGCAUAGUAUGUAAAGUCAAAUGAAUUUCCUCAGCUCUUGAAAAUUAGUUCCUCCAUUUCUUGGAUUGUUAGUAUGCAAGUUCUAUACCAAAGGCCGCUCCAUCAGAGCUGAACUGCAAAUCACAAGAGAAUUUAAUUUUUAGAGCUGAAUAGUGCUUGUUUUUUGUGAACACACAUUUUCCACAAAAGAAUUAGAUGCAUCUGUCUAGCUUGUGAAAUUAGUACUCAUUGGUGCCUAUCUGAGCACCCAUGUAGCUAAAUUUGUUCCAGUUUUGACCACUAGAAGGUGCCCAUUGUGUGCCUCCUUUUCUGUCAAAAUAAAGACUGUGUCUGCAGUGAUAAUAGAUUUCUCCUUCUGAGUUUCUAGGGCAAGAAGCCAGGAAAGAAAAUGGUAAGUAGGCGACCUAGAUCUAGGAGGGAAUAGGUUUGCCUUUGACAGAACAGACAGAAUUGACCAAACCUACACUAAGAAAACAAAGCAUUUCCAUAGCAUUUUUUCUGCAGUUGUUUGUUGGUCACGUGCAUUUUACACUACUGUAAAAUUAGUAGGGGCUGCAGGGAAAUCUCCAGAUUCCCCAUAGGGCUUUCAAAACUCCCUGCCAGCUGAGGAGCCAAUAUUCUGAUGAGUUAUUUGGCCUGUUUAAAAUAAAGGGGGAAAAAAGAGCUGCUUUUUUGGAGAAAAAAAUCUGAAUAUAUUUUAUAUCUAUUUGAAAACAAAGUCUGAUAUUUACCCCUGUUAGCAAUUGAAUUUAUAUAUUGUUUGCCACAAUAUUUGUUCUGUCUUAAAAUAAAUUUGCUUACUUGUGUAGUCUAAAAA